rnacentral:RNase_P_RNA from 1 species
GUAAGCUGAGUAAUCGCACAUGGCCAGUGCCGAAAGGCGGCAUGUGAGGAAAGUCCGGGCCCCAUAGAGCAAGGAUGCUGGAUAACGUCCAGUGAGGGUGACCUUAAGGAAAGUGCAACAGAAAAUAACCGCCUAAAGUUUUUAGGUAAGGGUGAAAAGGCGAGGUAAGAGCUCACCGUAGAUGUGGUGACACAUCUAGCCGUGUAAACCCCAUCUGGAGCAACACCGAGACUAGGAGGCUAAGACUGCUCGUCAUCUCCUUAAUUUGGUGGCAUGAGGUAUGUAGCAAUACAUAUCCUAGAUAAAUGAUUACUUUGAACAGAACCCGGCUUAUAGGCUUACUC